GUUAAAUUAUUUGGUCCUCAGACAAUAAUUAUUUGUGAUCAGUGUGAGAAGGAAUAUCAUGUUGGAUGUUUCAAGGAUUAUAAAAUGCAGAAUCUAGAGGUGUUUCAUUCAACUUUGGGAUGGUUUCUUGGAUGUUAAUGCAUUAAAUUGUUGCGUUGAUUUCGUGCUUGCGCAACA